AACGCUGGCGGCGUGCUUAACACAUGCAAGUCGAACGGAAAGGCCCCUUUGGGGGUACUCGAGUGGCGAACGGGUGAGUAACACGUGAGUAACCUGCCCUUGACUUCGGGAUAACUUCAGGAAACUGGGGCUAAUACCGGAUAGGAAUCCUUGCUGCAUGGUGGGGGUUGGAACGCUUCGGCGGUUUUGGAUGGACUCGCGGCUUAUCAGCUUGUUGGUGGGGUAGUGGCUUACCAAGGCUUUGACGGGUAGCCGGCCUGAGAGGGCGACCGGCCACAUUGGGACUGAGAUACGGCCCAGACUCCUACGGGAGGCAGCAGGGGGGAAUAUUGCACAAUGGGCGGAAGCCUGAUGCAGCAACGCCGCGGGCGGGAUGACGGCCUUCGGGUUGUAAACCGCUUUCAGCAGGGGCGAAGCUUGUGGUGACGGUACCUGCAGAAGAAGCACCGGCUAACUACGUG
rnacentral:rRNA from 1 species